UACGUAGGUGGCAAGCGUUGUCCGGAAUUAUUGGGCGUAAAGCGCGCGCAGGUGGUUCCUUAAGUCUGAUGUGAAAGCCCACGGCUCAACCGUGGAGGGUCAUUGGAAACUGGGGAACUUGAGUGCAGAAGAGGAAAGUGGAAUUCCAAGUGUAGCGGUGAAAUGCGUAGAGAUUUGGAGGAACACCAGUGGCGAAGGCGACUUUCUGGUCUGUAACUGACACUGAGGCGCGAAAGCGUGGGGAGCAAACAGGAUUAGAUACCCUGGUAGUCCACGCCGUAAACGAUGAGUGCUAAGUGUUAGAGGGUUUCCGCCCUUUAGUGCUGCAGCUAACGCAUUAAGCACUCCGCCUGGGGAGUACGGCCGCAAGGCUGAA
rnacentral:rRNA from 1 species